rnacentral:rRNA from 1 species
AUUGAACGCUGGCGGCAUGCCUUACACAUGCAAGUCGAACGGUAACGCGGGGGCAACCCUGGCGACGAGUGGCGAACGGGUGAGUAAUACAUCGGAACGUACCCAGUAGUGGGGGAUAGCUCGGCGAAAGCCGGAUUAAUACCGCAUACGACCUAUGGGUGAAAGCGGGGAUCGCAAGACCUCGCGCUAUUGGAGCGGCCGAUGUCGGAUUAGCUAGUUGGUGAGGUAAAGGCNCACCAAGGCUACGAUCCGUAGCUGGUCUGAGAGGACGACCAGCCACACUGGGACUGAGACACGGCCCAGACUCCUACGGGAGGCAGCAGUGGGGAAUUUUGGACAAUGGGCGCAAGCCUGAUCCAGCCAUGCCGCGUGUGUGAAGAAGGCCUCGGUGUAAGU